UGCAGAGCAUGGACGACGU
rnacentral:misc_RNA from 1 species